AUGGCCUCGCAUCUGCCGUACCGACCGCAGCCCUCCGGAUCUCCGCCUCCGCCUCGGAAUCGCCCCUCUCCGCCAAUCGCUCCGUGUAUCAAGCUGUCACCACCGCUCCGAAACAACACACCACGACAACCCUUAUUUCGAUCUGCCAUUCGCAAGCUCGCACAAUUCUCCUCAGUCGGCAGCUCUUCGGAUCCAAGUGUUUGCGUUUGUUUUCUUUCGUUUUAUCUUGUAUGCGAUUUGUGCACUUUUUGUUCUAUUGUUUUUCGGUACGUUCUGUUUGUUUUCUAUGAGCUUUUAUUGAAAAAUGGAGGAAGAAGAUUGAAGAAAAAACAGAGAAUAACGCGAGAGAGAGAAAAUUUCUUUGUUACUGAUAAUAAUCUCUCACUUUUAUUUUGGUUAAUUUGA